rnacentral:rRNA from 1 species
AGCGAACGCUGGCGGCAGGCUUAACACAUGCAAGUCGAGCGGGCCCUUCGGGGUCAGCGGCGGACGGGUGAGUAACGCGUGGGAACGUGCCUUCUGGUUCGGAAUAACUCAGGGAAACUUGAGCUAAUACCGGAUACGCCCUUUUGGGGAAAGGUUUACUGCCGGAAGAUCGGCCCGCGUCUGAUUAGCUAGUUGGUGGGGUAACGGCCUACCAAGGCGACGAUCAGUAGCUGGUCUGAGAGGAUGAUCAGCCACACUGGGACUGAGACACGGCCCAGCCACGGAGGGGAGGAGGGGGGAGGAUUAAUGAAAGGGGGGGGGCAGGCUGAACAAACCCGUGCGGGGGGAGGAGGGACGCGGUGUGGUAUGAAAAUCUCUUUUUUCCGGAGGGAUAAGGACGGGACGGGAGAAAAAAGCCCCGGCUAACUUCGUG